UGAUCAUAUAUGACCAGAGGAAACUUAAUGUCAGUAUCCAGAUGCAGAGAUUCCUUUGAGGAUAGAGGAGGUUUAGGAAAUGCUUGGUGAGCACAGUCUGUCUGGUAUUGGAUAAAAUCACAAGAAUUUGGGGAUGAACUCCUGCCUCCUCAUCCUGGCCCCUGGUCUUGAGAUACGAAGUAUAAGUGGACAUGGUGUGUGUCAGGGCUUGUGUUGUGGUCUAUUUUCUUCAGUGCAUAUGGUUCAUCUUCUGUUUGGGAACGAAGUCUUCUCACCUGAUCGCCAGCAUAGCAGUUGCUACAAAGGUGGCUGUGCCCUGGUUGCAGAUUCUCCAUGAGGAGAUUCUCCAUGAGGCUUUAGCUCUUCACAGCUUGGUGGCUGGCUUCCCUGAGCAAGCUUCCUGAGAGUGGCACAUCCAUGGAAGUCACAUCACACCACUUCCACAGAACAACACUUCUAUUCUGUUGAUUGAAGUAGGUACACACCUGCCUCCUUAGGAGGGAACCUAAACCUCACAUAUUUAUGGUAUGUGUCUCCAAGAAGUUGUGGCAAAUUUUUAAAACCACCAUGAACUAGACGCCAGAAUUGAUUUAUCCAUUCUAUUGUAGAUGGAUAUUUGAGUACUUUCUACUUUGGAGGAAUGAAGAGAAUGAUGCUCUAAUCAUUCUUGCUCCUUUCUCUUGGUUCAAAUGUUUAGAUUUUAUUGAGUGCACAUCUAAGAGUAGAAUUGUUGGUCAUGUAGUAUGUGUGUCUCCAGCUUUAACAGAUAGAUCCUGCCAAAAAGCUUUCCCAAGUGGCUGCAUGAAUUCCUGCUCCUACCAGCAAAGUGUGAGCCUUCCAGUUGCUCUGCAGCCUGCCCUCCACUUGCUGCCAUCGGCUCAGCAUUUCACAUCUGUUUUUAACCAUUCUCUGGUGUAUAGAAGAUCUCAGUGUGGUUGAAUUGUAAUUUCCAUGGUACCUACUGAUUCUAGCAUAUUUGCAUAUGCUUGUUGACCGUUGGGACGCUCUGUGUGUGAAGUGCCUGUUCAACUCUUUUGCCCAGUUUUAAGCAAUCGGUUUGUUUGGAUUCUGUCUUACUGUAAUGCUGAAGAUUUUCUGUAUUCUGCAUGAGAAUCCUUUGUUGAAUAUUCGAAUUGGAACAAUCUCUUCGCAUCCUGUGACUUGCCAAUUCCCUCUUGUAAUAUGUCUCAUGAUGAACCGAAAGUCUAAAUUUUAAUGAAUCCAAGUUUACCGAUCUUUUCUUUUAUGGAGAGUGUGUGUAUGUGGGCAUUUGUGUCUUCUUUAAGAAGUUUUUGCUAUCCUGUCAUCCUGAAGAUGUUUUCUUAUGUUGUCUUCUAGAAGCUUUAUUAUUUUACCUUUCACCUAUAGGUCACAGUGUCCAGGAAUUGAGUUAUGUGUGUUGUGAGGGUAGGGGUCAAGGUUUCUUUUAUAUCCAUAUGCUUAUUUCUAGGAGUAAUAACUGGCAGCAUUGGGACAGGUGGACACAAGCCUGGGAGUUGGGGGUCCUGUAUUCUCAGCCUUAACCUCCCUUUAAAGCACCCUGUGAACUUGAGCAGGUGAUUUUCCCAGUUCUCCCUCCUCUCAGGUUCCCUCCUUCCUUCCUUUCUUCCUUCUAUCCUUCCUUCCACACUCCCUCCCUCCAUUCCUUCCUUCCUUCCAUCUAUCCAUCCAACCAUCUGUCCAGAUAUCAAUCUGUCCAACUCUCCUCCUGCCUGUUCGCCUGUUUUUUCCCUCUUCUCUCCUUCCAUCCUCUUUCCUCCCAUCUUCUCUUCCUUGUGUGUAUUCUUCCUGCUUUCCCUUAGACCCUCCAUUUAUCCACUCUUCCUCUGUCCAUCCAGGGAUCCCCUCUGUCUGUACCACUACCUCUCUCUUUGUUCCAUCUCUCUCUUCAACCACACUCACUCUUUUGGGUUCAUCUCCUUCACAGGCUUGCUCAUCCCUCUACUCACACAAUCCCUCCUUCUGUCACUCACAUUUAUGGCUCACCUGUGAAUGGUUGUCCUGGGACAACCACUACCAGAGUGCAGAUGAGCCUGUGGGGCUUCACCCACUGUAUGGGGGGCUCUGUCCCACCCUAACAAGAGCCCUUUCCACAGCUCCUGAGCCAAGCAGCAAGUUCCUGCCUACUUCCUCAUCGCCUGAGCAACCAGAGGCCACCAUAGGCCUAGAGGACCCCUCUUCCUUCCCCAGAGGAGCUCUCCAGCCCCACACCUCCACUGCCGAAUUAUCACUUGGGAGCUGGAAAGCCAAGGAGUGCAAUUCUGCUUUUCAGGCAAUCAUGCUGAUCACAAAGAUUAUACCAAUAAUCCAGUCUGAUGCAGCCCUCAGACAGGCCCUGGUCUUGUGAAAUUCACAGAAAAUUCUAAUCAAAGGUAUUGGGCACGAGCUGAAGGCCCUCACACUGAACUUCAGCAUCUCCAACCUCCAAUAUUCAACAGACAUGAGCAAGGGCUCAGCGACAUUUAACUCCACUGAGAGAGUCCUGCAGCACCGGAUGAGACCCUGGUGCCUGCAGCUCCUGGUAGAAUGAGUCCCAGCCAGCCACUCUCCUCCUGCUGUCUCUCCUGCUCACCCUCCUCCUGACUCCUCCACUGCUUGGAUCCUUGUUCAAGAAGAGCAGCCUAGGCCCCUUGUCCUUGGGUUGCAGACUGAUCUCCCUCAGGAAAGUCCCUUUUCUGAGCGUUUGAGAGUUACAAACACUUUCAGAGCCCACCCCACUUUUCACUCUUCCCACUGACUGCCAAUUUGCUCCUCCCUCCCUCUGGCCCCCAUUAAUAGAGGACUCAGGACAUCUCUCUAGAGUCCCCACAUUCCUCUCUCCCAAGGCCUGGGGAGGAUGGGGCAGCCACCAGCGUGGAAGCUGUCUGCACCUACCACCCUGACCCCAUGGCGUGUGAUGGAGAGUAUGACAGAGACAUCAGGUGACAGCAGCAUUCCUGGGAGCUUAACAAGCUGACUCACCGUGUCACCCUGAGGGGCCUCUACUCCCUGCUCAGGGACAGCCUUUUUGUCAGUGGUGAGUGUUCAUGCUGAGCUGGAUUGAUAGUGAUCAUUACUUAUGCCUGUUCUGCUUUAUUUCUUCUCUAACAAUUCAGCCCAGAUUCUGAUUUGGGGGACACAGAAACUGAAUAUGUAUAAAAUUUCAAUUUGCAAAUGAAGACUGUGCUGUAAAUGGAUUUGUAGAUCCCAAUCAUAAAAAAAAAAGUCAACUAUCUCUGUAAUAAUUUUUAUAUAGAUUGCCUGGAGAAAUAAUAAUAUCUUGUUUAUAAUGGGUUUAAAUAUACUAUUAAAAUUAG
ensembl:lncRNA